CUUACUCCUCUCUUCUUUACUAUGCUAGCUGACUACAUAGUGGUACCGUCCACUAUAAUAAAACGGGUAUACCUCAUGUAUAGGAUCUAUAUACUAGUGAAUAUACAUGGUGCACGCUACAACUCCUGGUGGGUGAUGAAAUUGCACCUGGCGUGGUAAUGAAUGAAUGAAUGAAAUUUGGAUGUCCCAAAAAAAUUGGUUACCUUUAGAGGGAAAUCCAGAUUACAUAGAUAGUUUGGGUGUACCAGAUAAAUGGAAAUUUAUUGAUAUACUUAUGCUUGACUCCAAGUAUUUAAAGAGUUUACCCUUUAAAAUUUGUGCAAUUAUCUUUUUAUUUCCAUUAAAUCAAAAUUAUGAUUUUGUUGAAUUUCCUAUUAAAGAUGAAGACAUUUAUUUUUGCCAUCAAACCAUUAAAAAUGCAUGUGGCACAUUAGCUAUAAUACAUGCUAUAUUAAAUAAUGUUAAUCAAAUAAAAUUAAAAGUAGAAUCUCCAUUCCAAAAAUUCUAUGAUAGCACAAUUGAUAAAACCCCUGAAAUUAGAGCUAAAAUAUUAGAAGAGUUUCAAGACAUUCAAAAUUGUCAUAGUGAAUUAGCUAAUCAAGGUCAAUCCUCAGCCCCUCUGAUAAAUGAUAAUAUUGAUUUGCACUUUAUUACUCUCAUUUCAAAGAAUAAUUUUAUAUAUAAAUUAGAUCUUAAAAAAAGUCGAUCCUGGAUUUCAAUUUUUUGAAAGGAUUGUGAUCGGGAUUCGAUCCUUUUAAAAGGAUCGAUUAACAAGCAUGGAAUUAUGUUAUGGGAUAUGAUAUCGGAUCGGUAAUCGGUUAUAUCAAAAAUAUAGAUUUUACUUCUACUCCCUUUAUGGUAUGACCCAAAUAGACUAUCAUUCUUAAUACGCUUUUUUCUCGACCGUCCCUUAAACCAUUGUCGAGAAUUCGUUAAAAACUUCUUCUACCCUAUGAUUAUGUUGCUCAGGGGUUACCCCCGUAAUCAACGAUCAUCCAUAUAAUAAAAGACACCUUCCAAAGAUACCAUAUUGCGCUGGAAAACUGGCGCUGAAACGCUAAGACCAAAAGGCAAUCGGCAAAAAGCAAAUAAAUCUUUAGAAGUGAUGGCCGAAACACUACACCUAUGUGUCUAUCAACCAUCAAUGAUUAUGAAAACUUUUUAGAAAAAAGUGUGCAAUCAUUGAAACAAGUUAUGA